UUUAAUUUUACUUUCAAUUGCAGGAAACAUAUAUUGAAAGAAAAAGCUUGAUUUAUGACAUCUCUGUGUGUAAAGUUGAGGCCCAUGAAGUAAUCAAAAUCUGACACCUUCCAAAGGAGUAAGACAAAGCGCUAUGAUCUUCUAUCAGGGUGUGAGCUGUGGAAAUCUUUGCAGUCCAUUGUCAAGAAUGAGCAUCACAGGAAGCAGGAACCUAGACUGCGAGUUGUGCCUCUUAUUCUGUGGAUCAUUUGGAGAAAUACACUCAAAGCAAGAUACUAAUUGAUAUUGGGAGAGAGACAUUCUCAUCUCUGCUUUCAAGAAAGUGGCAUUCUUGAGCCCUCUGAAGGACAGUACUUCAAGGCUGACCGUGCAGCUAAAUUGAACUUCCAUUUACUGUUAUUGUACCAUGGGCUGUAU